CACGUAGGAGGCAAGCGUUAUCCGGAUUUACUGGGCGUAAAGCGCGUGUAGGCGGUUUGGUAAGUUGGAUGUGAAAUCUCCUGGCUCAACUGGGAGAGGUCGUUCAAUACUACCAGACUAGAGGACGGUAGAGGAAGGUAGAAUUCCCGGUGUAGUGGUGAAAUGCGUAGAUAUCGGGAGGAAUACCAGUGGCGAAGGCGGCCUUCUGGGCCGUUCCUGACGCUCAGACGCGAAAGCGUGGGUAGCGAACGGG
rnacentral:rRNA from 1 species